rnacentral:rRNA from 1 species
UACGUAGGGUGCAAGCGUUUGUCCGGAAUUAUUGGGCGUAAAGAGCUCGUAGGCGGUCUGUCGCGUCUGCUGUGAAACUCGGGGCUUAACCCCGGGCCUGCAGUGGGUACGGGCAGACUAGAGUGCGGUAGGGGAGACUGGGAAUUCCUGGUGUAGCGGUGAAAUGCGCAGAUAUCAGGAGGAACACCGGUGGCGAAGGCGGGUCUCUGGGCCGUAACUGACGCUGAGGAGCGAAAGCGUGGGGAGCGAACAGG